GGGGUGACAGAGUGAGGGAAGGGGAUGACUGGUGACAGAGUGAGGGAAGGGGAUGACUGGUGACAGAGUGAGGGAGGGAGGGGAUGACUGGUGACAGAGUGAGGGAGGGCGUAGUGACAGAAGGAAGGAGGGAGUAGUGACAGAGGGAGGUGGUGACUAGUGACAGUCACCACCUCCCUCACUCUGCCACUAGUCACCCCUUCCCUCACUCUGCCACUAGUCACCCCUUCCCUAACUCUGUCACUGUGUCACCUGCUCCCUCACUCUGUCACUAGUCACCCCCUCCCUCACUCUGUCACUAAUCACCCC